UACAGAGGUCCCAAGCGUUGUUCGGAUUCAUUGGGCGUAAAGGGUGCGUAGGCGGCGCGGUAAGUCGGGUGUGAAAUCUCGGAGCUUAACUCCGAAACUGCAUUCGAUACUGCCGUGCUUGAGGACUGGAGAGGAGACUGGAAUUUACGGUGUAGCGGUGAAAUGCGUAGAUAUCGGAAGGAACACCAGUGGCGAAAGCGGCUUCCUGGUCCAGCACCGACGUUCAGGCACGAAAGCGUGGGGAGCAAACAGG
rnacentral:rRNA from 1 species